rnacentral:rRNA from 1 species
UUUAUUGGAGAGUUUGAUCCUGGCUCAGGAUGAACGCUGGCGGCGUGCCUAAUACAUGCAAGUCGAGCGAAUGGAUUAAGAGCUUGCUCUUAUGAAGUUAGCGGCGGACGGGUGAGUAACACGUGGGUAACCUGCCCAUAAGACUGGGAUAACUCCGGGAAACCGGGGCUAAUACCGGAUAACAUUUUGAACCGCAUGGUUCGAAAUUGAAAGGCGGCUUCGGCUGUCACUUAUGGAUGGACCCGCGUCGCAUUAGCUAGUUGGUGAGGUAACGGCUCACCAAGGCAACGAUGCGUAGCCGACCUGAGAGGGUGAUCGGCCACACUGGGACUGAGACACGGCCCAGACCCCUACGGGAGGCAGCCGUAGGGAAUCUUCCG